AACGCUGGCGGCGUGCCUAACACAUGCAAGUCGAACGCGAAAGCCCGCAAGGGCAAGUAGAGUGGCGCACGGGUGAGUAACACGUGGGUAACCUACCUCGGAGUGGGGAAUAACCCCGCGAAAGCGGGGCUAAUACCGCAUAACAGAUGCUGACCUCGGUUGGCAUUUUGAACGGUCGCAAGACCGCUCGGAGAGGGGCCCGCGGCUGAUUAGCUAGUUGGUGGGGUAACGGCUCACCAAGGCGACGAUCAGUAGCCGUCCUGAGAGGGAGCACGGCCACACUGGAACUGAAACACGGUCCAGACUCCUACGGGAGGCAGCAGUGGGGAAUUUUUCGCAAUGGGGGAAACCCUGACGAAGCAACGCCGCGUGGAUGAUGAAGUUCCUUGGAACGUAAAGUCCUUUCGACGGGGAAGAAAGUCCGCAAGGAUCUGACGGUACCCGAAGAAGAAGCCCCGGCUAACUCCGUGCCAGCAGCCGCGGUAAUACGGGGGGGGCAAGCGUUGUUCGGAAUUAUUGGGCGUAAAGGGCGCGUAGGCGGUUUGGCAAGUCCGAUGUGAAAUCCUGUGGCUUAACUGCAGAUCGGCAUCGGAAACUGUCGGGCUGGAGUGUGGGAAGGGAGCGUGGAAUUCCCGGUGUAGCGGUGAAAUGCGUAGAUAUCGGGAGGAACACCAGUGGCGAAGGCGGCGCCCUGGACCACAACUGACGCUGAGUGCGCGAAAGCUAGGGGAGCAAACAGGAUUAGAUACCCUGGUAGUCCUAGCUGUAAACGAUGGUCACUGGGUGUGAGCCCUUUACUGGGCUCGUGCCGAAGCUAACGCAUUAAGUGACCCGCCUGGGGAGUACGGUCGCAAGUCUGAAACUCAAAGGAAUUGACGGGGGCCCGCACAAGCGGUGGAGCAUGUGGUUCAAUUCGACGCAACGCGAAGAACCUUACCUGGGCUCGAAAUGUAGGGGAAGUCAGCAGAGAUGUUGACGUCUGGCAACAGACCCUUAUAUAGGUGCUGCAUGGCUGUCGUCAGCUCGUGUCGUGAGAUGUUGGGUUAAGCCCCGCAACGAGCGCAACCCUUGUCCUUUGUUGCUCGGUCCGAUUCGUCGGACAAGCACCCUAAGGAGACUGCCGAUGACAAAUCGGAGGAAGGUGGGGACGACGUCAAGUCCUCAUGGCCUUUAUGUCCAGGGCUACACACGUGCUACAAUGGUCGGUACAAACCGUCGCAAACCCGCGAGGGGGAGCUAAUCGGAAAAACCCGGCCUCAGUUCGGAUUGCAGGCUGCAACUCGCCUGCAUGAAGCUGGAAUCGCUAGUAAUCGCGGAUCAGAACGCUGCGGUGAAUACGUUCCCGGGCCUUGUACACACCGCCCGUCACAUCACGAAAGCCGGCUGUACUAGAAGUCGUCGAGCCAACUCGCAAGAGGGGCAGACGCCCAAGGUAUGGCUGGUGAUUGGGGUG
rnacentral:rRNA from 1 species